AUCGGAGAUACGCCCCGAAGACUUGGGAAGUUGGCGGCCUUACCCGGCGUGUUUCCAACAAGAUUUCCAGGUGGGAGUUGAUCAUGGUGAGGGUUUGCCAAGCAUGCCUUCCUCUUGGCACGUUUCUCCCUUUCGUCCUGAGUUUGAGCGUUUUCAAAACCCAUGACACCUUUGGUAAAGGCUAUUCUCCAAUUGGAGCGCUCACAGGCCAGUGUUUCCCAGUGGUUGGUGUUUAUACUACAUUUUUUUUAAAGAUUUGCCUUGAGAGAGUAUUUGAAUCUCUUUUGUUGACCACUAGAAUGAGACCACCAAUAUAUCAACUAAUAUUGGAAUUCUAAGGAAGAAAAUAAGUUGAAACAUUUUGGUCCCCCAUCUUGUUUCAAAAUGCUAUCCAAACGUACAAUCUCAGGAACUGUCACACCAAAUUGGGUGACAGUACUUUGAGAGGUGUCCAAACUGGUGCAGUUUGGAAUGGUGUGAUUUGUCAUCUUAAAGGUACCAUGCGCCAUAUAUUUAAUUAAGAAUGCAUACCAGUACUUGGCAACAAUAUGGUCGCACAACUACUAUCUUAAUGAGGCAGAUAGCUAACAUUGUGGCUGCAGGCAUGGAUGUACUUUCUCCCUGUGUCUAAUGGAGAAAGACUGCUGACCAUUGGUUAGAGUGGUGGAUGUGGGAGACCUCUGUAAAGACCUUGUGUAGCCAUGGCACCAUAUACUCAAAUAAAUAAUAUUGUCUGAUAGGUGAUUUUCUAUUGCAAACCACCUUGUGUAUUUUUAAUUAGAUCAUUCAAUCAGCACAAGCUUUUCAGCAUGCCAGUCAGAAUGAUUCCCUAUCCCCCCUUGCACUGUUCUGGGGUUUCUCCUAACUCCCCCCCCCAAGCCCAUUUUAGAGGGUGCGAGGGGGAGGAGAGGGAGAAAAGCCCCACUGCAAAAGUCCUUGCUCAGGCUUCCGCUAGCAGCACUAGUUAGUUGGAUCCCCCCCCCCCCCCAUGUUUAAAGCCUUGCUAAUCCUUUUUAUAGCAGCUAAGCAAAUAAUAGAUCAGCUAUUGGAGAAUAGCUGCCAAUCUAUCACAGGAGGCAUAACUAGAAAGAGUCUGGAACAUUGCCCUCAUGGAAAAAAUGACAAAGCAACUUAAAGCUCUAAAAAACAAACAAACAAAACCCCCCAAAUAUUACUCUGAAGGAACUUGGUAUGUUUAAUACACCAGACAAGGCAGUAUGAUGACAAAUCCACCAGCAACACAGAGAUGAACUCCACCACCAACACAUAACCUGUUAUUUUAUCUUAUCUUAUCCUCAAUGACUGCAGUUACUCACAAAACAACAGGUGGAGUAGAUCAUCACUGAUCUUCAACUGCUGGGUCACGGCCUGACUCAAGCUGGGCCAUAACAGGAGCACUACCACCAUGCCAAUAUAUGGUAAAAGAUUGAAAACUGGGUCCCCAAAUGCAUGUUUGGGUUAAAAGUGGAUCCUAGGUUGAAGAUACCUGACUUGUUUUUUAUGGGUUCAGCAUGUGCUGUUGUGAGGGGUGGGGGAAGCACCUGGGGAUUUAUCUUAGAUGUAUUUGUUCUUUUGUAACUAUGACGAAAAUUCAAAAAUAAAGGCGUGUUGUUGAUUUUUAAGUGCAGCCUUCGGCCCCUGAAACAAAAACCACCCCUAACUUAGCAGUAUGCUGUUAGUAUGAUGAAACAUUGACAUCACUCCUUAGAUGUAGUGUGUAUGUACAUAAGAUUUCUAUAUGCUUAACAAACCUGUUGAACUUUAUUGGUUACACAUGAAAACAGGAGCUUUAAACAGUCCCCAAUGUAAGGCUCUUACUAACAGCUGUGUGAUGAGAGAAAACACAUUAUCGUCGAGCUUAUUUAAAUGCUGCUUUUCCAAUCUGUGCUCAAAGUGGCUCACUAGAACAAUCAACAAAUUAAUAUUGAGAUACAACAGAAAUACGUUCUUGAAUAGAAACACAUUUCGUAAAAGACCGUAUUAUCUCCACGGUGGCAAACUAGCAAAAAAACAUUCCCCCAAACGUGUCAGGAGGAGCCUUAGUAGCUGACGUCAGCCAGGGCACUGCCCUCCCAGGCCAGGUGGAAAUGUGUCAGGCAGAGGACCAGUUAUUGGGGGAGGACUCAUAGCUAGAUGGUCUUUCUGCGCCUUGAUCUGCAGGAUGCAGGAUAAGAUGCAAGAGCAGCAUCUGCUACUGGAGUCAGCUAGAGCCUCACCUUCCCAGACCAGCAGGUUUAUCUUUCUCCAUCACUGCAUCUCCAGGCUGAUAGAAGUCCGCAUGCCAGGCUGCUGCUAAAUAAAGGCACAUAAACCCUGCAAGAAAAAAAGGCAGAAACUCCCAAAUCGCUCAUGAUUCUGCCAGAGGAUAAUUCUCUCUCUCUCUCUUUUUUACUCCCUUUGUUAUGCAGUGCGCCAAGUGCUGUGUGAGUCAAGGCACCGGUGGUGGAUCGUGCUUCUGAGCACUCGGUCUGGUUCUCAACAGAAAUGGCAUUGUGUUCGAAGGCUUCUAGCAGCUGUAAUCUGCGUGGUGUUUAGCUGUUACGCCAGGAGCAGCCACAAGGGGGAAGGAGCAGAUCAGAAAUGGCAAAAGGGAUCAUCCAGAAGGGAGG
rnacentral:lncRNA from 1 species